AACGUGGGUGGCGAGCGUUAUCCGGAUUUACUGGGCGUAAAGCGUGUGCAGGCGGAGCCACAAGUGGUGUAUGAAAUCGCUCGGCUUAACCGGGCGGGGUUAUGCCAGACUGUGGUUCUAGAGUGCGAGAGAGGGGCGUGGAAUUCCGGGUGUAGUGGUGAAAUGCGUAGAGAUCCGGAGGAACCCCAGAGGCGAAGGCGGCGCCCUGGCUCGCAACUGACGCUCAGACCCGACAGCAUGGGGAGCGAACGGG
rnacentral:rRNA from 1 species